rnacentral:rRNA from 1 species
AUUGAACGCUGGCGGCAUGCUUUACACAUGCAAGUCGAACGGAUCUUCAUUAGCUUGCUUUUGAAGAUCAGCGGCGGACGGGUGAGUAACACGUGGGCAACCUGCCUGUAAGACUGGGAUAACUUCGGGAAACCGGAGCUAAUACCGGAUAAUCCUUUUCCUCUCAUGAGGAAAAGCUGAAAGACGGUUUCGGCUGUCACUUACAGAUGGGCCCGCGGCGCAUUAGCUAGUUGGUGAGGUAACGGCUCACCAAGGCGACGAUGCGGAGCCGACGUGAGAGGGUGCUCGGCGACACUGGGACUGAGACACGGCCCAGACUCCUGCGGGAGGCAGCAGUAGGAAAUCUUCCGCAAUGGACGAAAGUCUGACGGAGCAACGCCGCGUGAGCGAUGAGGGCCUUCGGGUCGUAAAGCUCUGUUGUCAGGGAAGAACAAGUACCGGAGUAACUGCCGGUACCUUGACGGUACCUGACCAGAAAGCCACGGCUAACUACGUGCCAGCAGCCGCCGUAACAC